rnacentral:rRNA from 1 species
UAAGGGGGAAAGCGGGGGACCUUCGGGCCUCGCGCUAUCAGAUGAGCCUGCGUAGGAUUAGCUAGUUGGUGAGGUAAAGGCUCACCAAGGCGACGAUCCUUAGCUGGUCUGAGAGGAUGAUCAGCCACACUGGGACUGAGACACGGCCCAGACUCCUACGGGAGGCAGCAGUGGGGAAUAUUGCGCAAUGGGGGCAACCCUGACGCAGCCAUGCCGCGUGUGUGAAGAAGGCCUUCGGGUUGUAAAGCACUUUAAGUGGGGAGAAAAGGGUAGCCGUUAAUAGCGGUUACCUGUGAUGUUACCCACAGAAUAAGCACCGGCUAACUCCGUGCCAGCAGCCGCGGUAAUACGGAGGGUGCGAGCGUUAAUCGGAAUUACUGGGCGUAAAGCGCGCGUAGGCGGUUUGUUAAGUCAGCUGUGAAAGCCCCGG